AGAGUUUGAUCCUGGCUCAGGAUGAACGCUAGCUACAGGCUUAACACAUGCAAGUCGAGGGGCAGCAUUUUAGUUUGCUUGCAAACUGAAGAUGGCGACCGGCGUACGGGUGAGUAACACGUAUCCAACCUGCCGAUAACUCCGGAAUAGCCUUUCGAAAGAAAGAUUAAUACCGGAUAGCAUACGAAUAUCGCAUGAUAUUUUUAUUAAAGAAUUUCGGUUAUCGAUGGGGAUGCGUUCCAUUAGUUUGUUGGCGGGGUAACGGCCCACCAAGACUACGAUGGAUAGGGGUUCUGAGAGGAAGGUCCCCCACAUUGGAACUGAGACACGGUCCAAACUCCUACGGGAGGCAGCAGUGAGGAAUAUUGGUCAAUGGGCGAGAGCCUGAACCAGCCAAGUAGCGUGAAGGAUGAAGGCUCUAUGGGUCGUAAACUUCUUUUAUAUGGGAAUAAAGUUUUCCACGUGUGGAAUUUUGUAUGUACCAUAUGAAUAAGGAUCGGCUAACUCCGUGCCAGCAGCCGCGGUAAUACGGAGGAUCCGAGCGUUAUCCGGAUUUAUUGGGUUUAAAGGGAGCGUAGGUGGAUUGUUAAGUCAGUUGUGAAAGUUUGCGGCUCAACCGUAAAAUUGCAGUUGAAACUGGGAGUCUUGAGUACAGUAGAGGUGGGCGGAAUUCGUGGUGUAGCGGUGAAAUGCUUAGAUAUCACGAAGAACUCCGAUUGCGAAGGCAGCUCACUAGACUGUCACUGACACUGAUGCUCGAAAGUGUGGGUAUCAAACAGGAUUAGAUACCCUGGUAGUCCACACAGUAAACGAUGAAUACUCGCUGUUUGCGAUAUACAGUAAGCGGCCAAGCGAAAGCAUUAAGUAUUCCACCUGGGGGAGUACGCCCGGCAACGGUGAAACUCAAAGGAAUUGACGGGGGCCCGCACAAGCGGAGGAACAUGUGGUUUAAUUCGAUGAUACGCGAGGAACCUUACCCGGGCUUAAAUUGCAACAGAAUAUAUUGGAAACAGUAUAGCCGUAAGGCUGUUGUGAAGGUGCUGCAUGGUUGUCGUCAGCUCGUGCCGUGAGGUGUCGGCUUAAGUGCCAUAACGAGCGCAACCCUUAUCUUUAGUUACUAACAGGUCAUGCUGAGGACUCUAGAGAGACUGCCGUCGUAAGAUGUGAGGAAGGUGGGGAUGACGUCAAAUCAGCACGGCCCUUACGUCCGGGGCUACACACGUGUUACAAUGGGGGGUACAGAAGGCGGCUACCUGGUGACAGGAUGCUAAUCCCAAAAACCUCUCUCAGUUCGGAUCGAAGUCUGCAACCCGACUUCGUGAAGCUGGAUUCGCUAGUAAUCGCGCAUCAGCCAUGGCGCGGUGAAUACGUUCCCGGGCCUUGCACACACCGCCCGUC
rnacentral:rRNA from 1 species